GAGUUUGAUCCUGGCUCAGAUUGAACGCUGGCGGCAUGCCUUACACAUGCAAGUCGAACGGUAACAGGUCUUCGGACGCUGACGAGUGGCGAACGGGUGAGUAAUACAUCGGAACGUGCCCAGUCGUGGGGGAUAACUACUCGAAAGAGUAGCUAAUACCGCAUACGAUCUGAGGAUGAAAGCGGGGGACCUUCGGGCCUCGCGCGAUUGGAGCGGCCGAUGGCAGAUUAGGUAGUUGGUGGGAUAAAAGCUUACCAAGCCGACGAUCUGUAGCUGGUCUGAGAGGACGACCAGCCACACUGGGACUGAGACACGGCCCAGACUCCUACGGGAGGCAGCAGUGGGGAAUUUUGGACAAUGGGCGAAAGCCUGAUCCAGCAAUGCCGCGUGCAGGAUGAAGGCCUUCGGGUUGUAAACUGCUUUUGUACGGAACGAAAAAGCUUCUCCUAAUACGAGAGGCCCAUGACGGUACCGUAAGAAUAAGCACCGGCUAACUACGUGCCAGCAGCCGCGGUAAUACGUAGGGUGCGAGCGUUAAUCGGAAUUACUGGGCGUAAAGCGUGCGCAGGCGGUUAUGUAAGACAGAUGUGAAAUCCCCGGGCUCAACCUGGGAACUGCAUUUGUGACUGCAUGGCUAGAGUACGGUAGAGGGGGGAUGGAAUUCCGCGUGUAGCAGUGAAAUGCGUAGAUAUGCGGAGGAACACCGAUGGCGAAAGCAAUCCCCUGGACCUGUACUGACGCUCAUGCACGAAAGCGUGGGGAGCAAACAGGAUUAGAUACCCUG
rnacentral:rRNA from 1 species